rnacentral:rRNA from 1 species
GUUGAACGCUGGCGGCAUGCUUUACACAUGCAAGUCGAACGGCAGCGCGGGCUUCGGCCUGGCGGCGAGUGGCGAACGGGUGAGUAAUACAUCGGAACGUGCCCAGUAGUGGGGGAUAGCUCGGCGAAAGCCGGAUUAAUACCGCAUACGACCUGAGGGUGAAAGCGGGGGAUCUUCGGACCUCGCGCUAUUGGAGCGGCCGAUGGCAGAUUAGCUAGUUGGUGGGGUAAAGGCCUACCAAGGCGACGAUCUGUAGCUGGUCUGAGAGGACGACCAGCCACACUGGGACUGAGACACGGCCCAGACUCCUACGGGAGGCAGCAGUGGGGAAUUUUGGACAAUGGGCGAAAGCCUGAUCCAGCAAUGCCGCGUGUGAUGAAGGCCUUCGGGUUGUAAAGCACUUUUGGCGGGAACGAAAAGGACUGUGCCAAUACCACGGUUCGAUGACGGUACCCGCAGAAUAAGCGCCGGCUAACUACGUG